GGAAGUAAAAGUCGUAACAACGUCUCCGUAGGUGAACCUGCGGAGGGAUCAUUACAGAGUUCAUGCCCUACCGGGUAGAUCUCCCACCCUAUGUUAUUAUUACUUUGUUGCUUUGGCGGGCCGUUAGGCUCCGGCCCGACUACCGGCCCCGGCUGGUAAGCGCCCGCCAGAGGACCCAAAACCCUGAAUAUUAGUGUCGUCUGAGUACUAUAUAAUAGUUAAAACUUUCAACAACGGAUCUCUUGGUUCUG
rnacentral:misc_RNA from 1 species